GUGAAUCAUCAAAUUUUUGAACGCAAAUUGCACUCUCUGGUAUUCCGGAGAGUAUGCCUGUUUGAGGGUCAGGUUAAGUAAAAAUCGGUGUGGCUUCUGCCUUUCUUGUGUACGUACCGGAUUUGGGUCGUCUUGCCUUCGGUUAAGUGACCUAAAAUUGUGCAUGAUUUUUUCGGACGUAUUUAAAUGACUUUACGAAAGUUUGCUAUAUCGAAUACUAGGUUGGGUCAAACUCAUGAUUCACUC
rnacentral:misc_RNA from 1 species